CAACGCGGUCCAGCACGCCUCAGGCCCCAGUUCGCGAUCGCAGGUGCGUCUACCAACUGGUCGGCGGCGACAUGAGGUUUUCGCCGGUGGCGAGUGCGCUAGUGGUGCUGAUGGUCGGUGGCUGGGUGGAGCCGCACCGCUCCAAGCGGGUCGUCUACCUGGAUACGGCCAGCCCCAUAGACGUAGCGCUGCAGAUCACGGUGCCUUUCGGCGUGGCGCUCCCCUCUGUGCGGAAGAAGCAGGGCUCGGAGGAGGCGGACAAGGCGGG